UGCCUAACAGCUAGCCCACCCAAACAAUUUCAACAAACCCCUGUUAAUAACCCCUAAGUACCCCAGUAUUUAUUUUAAACAAACCAUUUUUCCCCCUUAGUAUAGGCGAUAGAAAAGGGCCCACGGCGCAAUAGAGAAAGUACCGCAAGGGAACGCUGAAAGAGAAGUGAAACAACCCAGUAAAGCCUAAAAAAGCAGAGAUCUAAACUCGUACCUUUUGCAUCAUGAUUUAGCAAGUGUAACCCAAGCAAAGCGUACUUUAGUUUGACGUCCCGAAACUAGGUGAGCUACUCCAAGACAGCCUAUCAAUAGGGCGUACCCGUCUCUGUGGCAAAAGAGUGGGGAGAGCUUUGAGUAGAGGUGACAAACCUACCGAACCUAGUUAUAGCUGGUUGUCCAAGAAAUGAAUAGAAGUUCAGCCUUUCAGCUUCUCUUUUCACCUUAGUCUGACCCCUAUUGAUGCAUUAAAGAAACCGAAAGAGUUAGUCAAAGGGGGUACAGCCCCUUUGAAUCAAGACACAACUUUACCAGGAGGGUAAAGAUCAUAAUAAUUAAAGCUAAAUGUUCUGGUGGGCCUAAAAGCAGCCAUCCCCUUAGAAAGCGUUAAAGCUCAGACAUGCGACCAUACUUCUUAUCCUGAUCACUUAAUCUUACCCCCCUAACCGUACUGGACCAUCCCAUGCCAACAUGGGAGUGACUAUGCUGAAAUGAGUAAUAAGAGAGCUACCGGCUCUCUCCCUGCACACGUGUAUAUCGGAACGGACAACCCACCGAACCUUAACGGCCCCAAAUAAAGAGGGCAGUGGAUGUUAGACCAAAAAACUAGAAAAAUAUCCAAAAACCAACCGUUAAACCCACACAGGUGUGCCCCCAGGGAAAGACUAAA
rnacentral:rRNA from 1 species